rfam:Tursiops truncatus cont1.430131, whole genome shotgun sequence.
UCCUCAGACCUUGCUUCCCUCCUCCUUUCUCACUGUAGAGAAACAGGAAGUGUUGUUUAUUAAUAAGCCUGACCAGGGUCACACCCAAGGUAGUAACCGAGUUUUACUUCUCCUGGUCUUGGGGAGAGGCUCAAGGAUCAGGGACAAGCU